CGUGUGGCCACAGCACCCCACCUGGAGGGGGCCCUCCCAGCAUCAGGGGGAACUCAUUUGUGUCUGUCCACAAGUUCUGCACCCAGGGUCCAUGUGGCUCCACAGUGUCCCACAGGGAACCCGAGGUGGGCCUCUGAAGACCCUGGCCCUGGCUCAGUGAAUUCCCAGUUCUCUGGGCACAGAGACCCAGUGGCUUGCAGGUCCUGCCACCUCUACACAGCUCCGGGCAGAAACUGGACCUGGACCAAGUCUCUUCUGUUCCUGCUCUGUGGGUUUCUCUCUGCCUCCUUAACUGGAGCAGGAAGCGAUCAUUCCCCGGGAGGGUUUGGCCUCCUGCGAGAAGAGGAGCAGCUUGAAGCUGGCCCCAGAAGUCCUAGGUGUUGGGAACUCUUCUACAGCAGCCAGCUCAGACCCCCUCUUCCCUGCUUUGUGGUGGACCCUCGCUUGCUCUUUCUCAGAAGCCUCCUUGGACUGACUUUGGAAGGAGAGCCCAGGAUGUCAGCUGCAGUGUCCUUCAGCUAUGGGCAUCUGAAGUCAACUUUGCAUCUUCCCAAGGCUUUGGAGAUCAGGGGCUGAAGGCAAGACUGUGCGCCUCUUACACGCAUCUUUCUCAGUCUUUGCUCUCAUACAGCUUUCUUGUUGGCUUCUACUCCUUUUGGCACCAGGAGACUACUGAAGUCAGGAAGGCUGGGACAGUUCCCAGUCCACAGCCCAUUAGGGACCCACAAAGAAUGUUGGUGACUCUGAGGUUCACUCCGGAUGCACCAUUGGGGAACCUCACUCAUUUUUCCCGUUUGGAGCCAGGUCCUGUCUGCCUGAGCACUCUGGUCCAACUCCGUGCCUCCAGCAGGCUCCAGCUGCUCAGGGAGAGCUGCUUUCCUCUGACACAGAAUCUACACAGCCCAGGGUGGCCCUGAGCUCAAGGCGUAGACCAGGCUGGGCUGAGCUUCUGAGCCUGUGUGCUGGGAUUACAGAGACCUGGAGCUGGCAUUGUGAGAGCCGCUUCUGGGAGCCAAAGGGGAAGCAGAUUCUUGGGAACACACAAAAAAAGAAUGAAGAAGAGAAGAAACAGAAAGUCUAACUUGGGUCCAUUUUUCUAGGAAGUGUAGGAAGAUGAAGUAUUUCGAAGAACACCAGUGGGCUGCUGGGCCAUGCUUGUGCUCCCGCCAUCCCGGCACGAGGAGGCACCCGCCUGGGAUGAGAGCAGCCAUGGACAUGGGUCCCAGGACUUUUUUAUCCUUACAAAAGCCUGGAGUACUGUCCUGGAGCACCCCCCAAGGACCUCGACAGGGCUUCAUGGAGGUCCACAAUCCUGUUGGCAUCUACACCCCUGAAGGUGUUACUCUGCACUCAUUGACUCUCAACUGUCCUUUCCCAUCCAACUCUGCCCAAGGCUGAAGUCCUACCAUUCCUCAAAUCUGUGGGCACUUUAGGCUUCCAAAGUGCUCUUGCAAAAGCUGCCCAAACCACCAGCUUCCAUUUCUCAUGAGAUUGUUCUUCAAGAAAUCAUAACUUCUAAAGGAAAUUAUAAAACUGAAGCUCUCUCUCUCUCUCUCUCUGUGUGUGUGUGUGUGUGUGUGUGUGUGUGUGUGUGUGUGGUCCAAAAAGGAAUGAAUAAGCAGAACCCGCAUACAAUCAUCUCUCACCCUAAGUUCUCCUUCCUUGGGGGAACUGUUUUUAGAGAUUUAUUUAUUACUUUAUUUUUAUUGGUUUUCAUUAGCUACCAUACAACACAAUCCCUUUCACUUCUGGCUCUUUAAAGAACGGCUGCAGGUAAGGCUUCCCACACUAGUUUGAAUAAAAGCGGAGAGAAUGGGGGCUCCUGUCCUGUUCCAAACUUUACAGGACAUGCUCCCAGCAUUUUCCUGCCGCUUAGCGAGAUGUCAACGUCUUGGUUAUUUUUCCUGUUGCUGUGAUAAGCAUUUUAAGGAAGGAACGUUCACUUGGGCUCACAGUUUGAAGGUGUCCGCAGGGACAGCGACAGCGAGGAGGCAGGAGCGUGACAUAGCACGUGGCACUGUGCUCACAGCCAGGAAGAAAGGGGCGAUGGCUGCUGGUGGCGCCUUUCUCAUUUUCAUGCAGCCCAGGACCCGGGUCCAGGGACCCACCCUGCCCUCCUUUGAGAUGGGCCUUCCCACCUCAGUCAACCCAACCAAGAUAACGGCUUACAGAUGUGCCCAGAGGGUGUCUGCUCUGUGGCUGGUACCAGAUCCCGUCCACAACACUCACCAUUCACAGUUUUGUUGUACAGAGCCCUUUGUUAUGUUUAGGCGUAUUCCGAGGAUUCCUAGUUUCUUUAGAACUUUUAUCAAAUGGGUGCACAACCUUGUUGAAGGCCUUUUGCGCAAUUCCUGAGAAGACAGUGAUUUCUGUCUGAGUCCACCUAUUGGCUGUUACAUUUAUUAAUGUCUGUGUGUGGAACCGUCUGCAUCCCUGGAAUGAGAUCACGGUGUGUGAUUUUUUCUUAGUGUAUUCUUGAAUUCAAUCUGCAAGAAUUUAUUGCAGAUUUUGGUAUCUGUCUUUAGGCUCAUUGUUUCACUUUAUCCUUUUGUUGUUUCUUACAUGGGGACUCACUGUAGCCCUGGUUGGCCUGGAACUCAGAGAACUCUGCCAGCUUGUGCUGAGAAUAAAAGUG